rnacentral:rRNA from 1 species
AUGCCACGGUGAAUACGUUCCCGGGCCUUGUACACACCGCCCGUCACACCAUGGGAGUGGGUUGCAAAAGAAGUAGGUAGCUUAACCUUCGGGAGGGCGCUUACCACUUUGUGAUUCAUGACUGGGGUGAAGUCGUAACAAGGUAACCGUAGGGGAACCUGUGGUUGGAUCACCUCCUUACCUUAAAGAAGC